AACGAACGCUGGCGGCAGGCCUAACACAUGCAAGUCGAGCGAGACCUUCGGGUCUAGCGGCGGACGGGUGAGUAACGCGUGGGAACGUGCCCUUUUCUACGGAAUAGCCUCGGGAAACUUAGCGUAAUACCGUAUACGCCCUUUGGGGGAAAGAUUUAUCGGAGAAGGAUCGGCCCGCGUUGGAUUAGGUAGUUGGUGGGGUAAUGGCCUACCAAGCCUACGAUCCAUAGCUGGUUUGAGAGGAUGAUCAGCCACACUGGGACUGAGACACGGCCCAGACUCCUACGGGAGGCAGCAGUGGGGAAUCUUAGACAAUGGGGGCAACCCUGAUCGAGCCAUGCCGCGUGAGUGAUGAAGGCCUUAGGGUUGUAAAGCUCUUUCAGCUGGGAAGAUAAUGACGGUACCAGCAGAAGAAGCCCCGGCUAACUCCGUG
rnacentral:rRNA from 1 species